UAGUCAUAUGCUUGUCUCAAAGAUUAAGCCAUGCAUGUCUAAGCACAAGCCCAAGAAUGGUAAAGCCGCGAAUGGCUCAUUACAACAGCCAUAGUUUACUGGAUCUUACUUUCCUACUUGGAUAACUGUGGUAAUUCUAGAGCUAAUACACGCAUGAAAGCUCUGACCGUUCGGGAGGAGCGCAUUUAUUAGAACAAAACCAAUCGGGCCUUCGGGCCCGCCAAUUGGUGAAUCUGAAUAACUUUGCAGAUCGCACGGUCUCGUACCGGCGACGUAUCUUUCAAAUGUCUGCCUUAUCAACUUUAGAUGGUAGUUUACACGCCUACCAUGGUUGUAACGGGUAACGGAGAAUAAGGGUUCGACUCCGGAGAGGGAGCCUGAGAAAUGGCUACCACAUCCAAGGAAGGCAGCAGGCACGCAAAUUACCCACUCCCGGCACGGGGAGGUAGUGACGAAAAAUAACGAGGCGGUUCUCUACGAGGCCCGCCAUCGGAAUGGGUACAAUUUAAAUCCUUUAACGAGGAUCUAUU
rnacentral:rRNA from 1 species